rnacentral:tRNA from 1 species
UCUAAUAUGGCAGAUUAGUGCAUCGGAUUUAAGCUCCGCAUAUAAAGAUUUUCUUUUAUUGGAA